UACGGAGGGUGCGAGCGUUGUCCGGAAUCACUGGGCGUAAAGGGCGCGUAGGCGGCAUGCCAAGCGUGUGGUGAAAGCCCGGGGCUCAACCCCGGGUCGGCCGUGCGGACUGGCGUGCUCGAGUACUGUAGGGGCGGGUGGAAUUCCGGGUGUAGCGGUGGAAUGCGUAGAGAUGUGGAGGAACACCGAUGGCGAAGGCAGCCCCCUGGGCUAACACUGACGCUGAAGCGCGAAAGCUAGGGGAGCGAACGGG
rnacentral:rRNA from 1 species